CUCCGCAUGCAGUCGGUCGUUGGGACUAUGGGAUGGGAUUGGAGAGCCAGGGUGGGAGUAAUGGUGGGAGAUAUGGCGGGAGUGAUGGCGGGAGGUGAUUUUUCGCGGCCAAACGGGGCUAUAAAUUCAGGUAUUGUGUGGAUCGCGAUGGCCAUGAGUUCCUCCAUCAUCGUUGCCAUCGCCGUCUGACGGUUGGGCUGAGGGCAGAGCCUGGUUUUACUGAAUAGAAGGUCAUUGAUCUCGAACCUUGCAUUUGAUAAGGAUCUCUGGUGAAAUGACAGACUCCUUUAAUGUUACAUCAACACCGACCUAAUCACCCAUAAGAACACCGCCGGUUCCCACUCGAAGUUCUCUGCAUGGGAAGACGGUGAAAUCUUUAGCGGAGCCUCUAUCCAGG